AUGAUAUGUGAUAUGAAGUAUUAUUUAUAUUUACUAUUUAGGAUGUAUGCAUAUAUGUUACUGGCUAGCAUGAUACCGUCUCCUACUGAAUUAAUAGUGAGAAGCCUACCAGCUGAAUUUCAUUCUUACAUCAUAUAUGAUAUGAAGUAUUAUUUAUAUUUACUAUUUAGGAUGUAUGCAUAUAUGUUACUGGCUAGCAUGAUACUGUUAGCGGAAGCUGUAGUGCUUUUUAUGGUCGACGGUGGCAUGCCGCUCCAAGCCACACGCUUAUUUGGUUCUGAUCGGAAGAUAAUUGGACCAGCUAAAGGAGAACUUUCCUGA
rnacentral:rRNA from 1 species